CAGACCAAUGGUGAAGAUUGGUGGUGUAGCAGUGAUGGGUGAUGAAAUACACGCCUGAAACUCUGAGGUCCAA